UCUAAAGGCAAAAUGAAAGUAAAGGUUAUCCUUGUGAUAACUAAGGGAGGAUGAAUUAUAUUGUGGUGUGAUUUCGCACUCCCGGGGCGUCUCAUUCUCAUUUAUGAGAAGAGGCGCACCCAGAGCGUACACGUUGGGACCCGAAAGAUGGUGAACUAUGCCUGGUCAGGACGAAGUCAGGGGAAACCCUGAUGGAGGUCCGUAGCGAUUCUGACGUGCAAAUCGAUCGUCGGAACUGGGUAUAGGGGCGAAAGACUAAUCGAACCAUCUAGUAGCUGGUUCCCUCCGAAGUUUCCCUCAGGAUAGCUGGCACUCAUAAGUUCAUUGAACAUUAUACGAGUCUCAUCUGGUAAAGCGAAUGAUUAGAGGCCUUGGGGUCGAAACGACCUCAACCUAUUCUCAAACUUUAAAUGGGUGAGAUCUCUGGCUUGCUUGAAUAUAUUUAAUGAAGCCAUGAGAUAUUGGAUCAGAGUGCCAAGUGG
rnacentral:rRNA from 2 species